UUACGAAGUGGCAUCACUUUGUAACGAAAGAAUUUCGGUUCGGGAGGGCCUCGCGGCCUAUCAGCUAGUUGGUGGGGUAAUGGCCUACCAAGGCAUCGACGGGUAGCUGGUCUGAGAGGAUGAUCAGCCACACUGGGACUGAGACACGGCCCAGACUCCUACGGGAGGCAGCAGUGGGGAAUCUUGUGCAAUGGGCGAAAGCCUGACACAGCCACGCCGCGUGCGGGAAGAAGGCCUUCGGGUUGUAAACCGCUUUCAGCAGGAACGAAAAUGACGGUACCUGCAGAAGAAGAUGCGGCCAACUACGUGCCACAGCCGCGGUGAUACGUAGGCAUCAAGCGUUGUCCGGAUUUAUUGGGCGUAAAGAGCUCGUAGGCGGUUCAACAAGUCGGGUGUGAAAACUCUGGGCUUAACCCAGAGCCUGCACUCGAAACUGCUGUGACUAGAGUUCGGUAGGGGAGCAGGGAAUACCUAGUGUAGCGGUGAAAUGCGCAGAUAUUAGGAGGAACACCAAUGGCGAAGGCACUGCUCUGGGCCGAUACUGACGCUGAGGAGCGAGAGCGUGGGUAGCAACCAGGAUUAGAUACCCUGGUAGUCCACGCCGUAAACGAUGGGCACUA
rnacentral:rRNA from 1 species